ensembl:miRNA
AAUGUUCAGGGCUAUUUGAGGAGAGGUUAGCCAUGUUGUGCUCACUCCGUUCAUCAUGAAUAAUACAUGGUUAACCUCUUUUGGAAUAUCAAACUC